rnacentral:lncRNA from 1 species
UGCUGGGGCCGUGGUUCGCGUACCUGCCGGUCAUUCUCCACGUCAUAGCCCAGGCUGAUGAGGCAGGCCUUGAAUUCCUCAGGCCCCAGUGCCCCGCCAUGGUCCUACCGGGGGCCAUCGAAGGCAGGCGUACAGGGUGAUGCAGGGGCCGGGCCACAUGCAGUGGACAGGGGAGGAAGACACAGGGGGAAGGGAAACACACAGUUAGAGGCGAUGCAGACAAGGUGGUGGCCAGGGACUGGUGGGGCAGAGAGGUCUUCAUGGCCUCAGUAGGGGUCCAGUGGGCAGCAUGGAGGACCAAGUCCAGGGCUCAAAGAUAGAGGGGACCUUUCCCUGUCUUCAGUGUUUACAGGACAGGGUAAGAGGCUGCACACUGGUACUCACAGAAGUUGAGUGGCUGUGGUACUGGGUGAAAGGAGAUCUGGAGACAAUCAAACUCAACACUCAGAAUUCCUCUCAAGAGGUUACCAGUCUAGAUCCAAAUUUUAAAAACUCUGAGAGUCCUGGAACCUGUGCCCACCUGGCCUUGUGUGUACUCUGGGGUCCUGCCCAUCAUGAGGACAGUGGAUGGAAUGGAUGGAUGGAUGGGUGCAGAUGGAGAGGGUACGAAGGGACAUACAAUGAGGGAGACAAAAGGCAAUGCUAUGCCAGUGGGGUGGGGUAGGGUAGGGUGAGGUUACCUUGUCAAAAUGGUUGAAGGAUGCCCGGAACUCCUGCAUCUGCUCCUGGCUGAUACCCUUGGCAUCUCGGGUGAGGAUCUGGUUUUCCACCUCAUUGAUGGUGCGGGCAAUGGUCGUGAGCAGCUGCUCCCAGCCCACACGGAUAUGCUGAGGGAGGAAGAGGGCGUGACUGGAUGGACGGGUGGCUGUCAACAAAUAAGGUCUGGGGGAGAAGGGGCUCCGUAUCUCACCAACUGACAAGGGACACAGGACUUUUGCCAAUUAUGCGCCUCACUUACUCAGAUGAGCAAGGGCCAAGGAGCUUGGGUCAUAUGACAACUCUUUACAAUUAUGCUUGUCGCUGCCCGAUACCUGACUCUCUGAAACCCCACGAGGUUUGUGGCAGCACGGGUCAGCACUGUGGAAUGCAGAUGGGACCCUCUGUUCUAGCACAACACACCUCACUGCCCUGGUGGGCUGCCCCAACAGAUGUCCUGGGCUUGCUGCUCGGGUAAGGCCAUAGGAAGGUGUGAAUGUGACCCUUUCUGGGUCAGGGAACUCUAGAAUGGAACUUAUGGAGCCACGGCUUUUCAAAUGCCCAUGUACACUAGUCUGUAAAGACAGGGUCUCCCUCUGUAUGUAGUCUAGGCUGGCCUAGUCAAACUCCUCCCAUUCCUCCUGCUCUGACCCAGACUGAAGGCUAGGAUUUGGGCCAUUAGAUACUGUGUCUACAAUUUGGUAACUUCUGCAUGGUUUUAGAAAGGUGAGGAGCACUUGGCAGCCCACUCCCCUGGGCAGUGGUGCUCACCUCCAUUGUGUAGUUGGUGUGCUUGUUGUCGAAGAUGAGGGCCUCCUGGAUGAGCUGGUGCUGCUGCUCCAGCAGGUCCAGGCUGGGCUUGUAGUCCACGAUGCUGCGCUCGUACUGCUUCAGGUGGCUCAGCUGGUCUUCCAGAGUCCCGUUCAUCUCAAUGGAGAUGCGCCCGAUCUCCUGCACGGAGGAAAGACCCCAGGAGUGACACUUGCUCAAGGCCCAUGAUCCCGCUCCACUCUUAGGUGUUGGGAGUCUGCUUUAUACAUCUAACCUUGCCAGCCACUCUUGAGCCCUCCAUGAGGCCCUGCACUGUGACAGAGAGGGGGACUUAGGGAGGGCAGGCCAAGUGACUUGGGAAAGUGCCUUCACCUUCUGAGUGCACACACCUUCACUCCAUGACAAAACACUACUUUGCUACUU